UACGUAGGGUCCAAGCGUUGUCCGGAUUUAUUGGGCGUAAAGAGCUCGUAGGCGGUUCCGUAAGUCGGAUGUGAAAACUCGGGGCUCAACCCCGAGACGCCAUCCGAUACUGCGGUGACUUGAGUCUGGUAGGGGAACACGGAAUUCCUGGUGUAGCGGUGAAAUGCGCAGAUAUCAGGAGGAACACCGGUGGCGAAGGCGGGUCUCUGGGCAGUAACUGACGCUGAGGAGCGAAAGCGUGGGGAGCGAACAGG
rnacentral:rRNA from 1 species